rnacentral:rRNA from 1 species
UUGACCGUGCAAGGUAGCGCAAUCACUUGUCUUUUAAAUGAAGACCUGUAUGAAUGGCACGACGAGGGCUUAACUGUCUCCUUUUUCUAGUCAAUGAAAUUGAUCUCCCCGUGCAGAAGCGGGGAUAGACGCAUAAGACGAGAAGACCCUGUGGAGCUUCAGACAAAAGAACAGACUAUGUCAAAACCCCCAGACAAGGAAAAGAACCAAUUAGACCCUGUCCUAAUGUCUUUGGUUGGGGCGACCGCGGGGAAAUGAAAAUCCCCCAUGUGGAAUAGAGCCACACCUUCUACAACCGAGAGUAACAACUCUAAGCAACAGAAAUUCUGACCAUUAUGAUCCGGCACCGCCGAUCAACGGAACGAGUUACCCCAGGGAUAACAGCGCAAUCCUCUUUUAGAGCCCAUAUCGACAAGAGGGUUUACGACCUCGAUGUUGGAUCAGGACAUCCUAAUGGUGCAGCCGCUAUUAAGGGUUCGUUUGUUCAACGAUUAAAGUCCUACGUGAUCU